rnacentral:rRNA from 1 species
UACGUAGGGCGCAAGCGUUUGUCCGGAAUUAUUGGGCGUAAAGAGCUCGUAGGCGGUUUGUCGCGUCUGCUGUGAAAACCUGAGGCUCAACCUCGGGCUUGCAGUGGGGUACGGGCAGACUAGAGUGCGGUAGGGGUGACUGGAAUUCCUGGUGUAGCGGUGGAAUGCGCAGAUAUCAGGAGGAACACCGAUGGCGAAGGCAGGUCACUGGGCCGCAACUGACGCUGGAGGAGC